rnacentral:rRNA from 1 species
AUUGAACGCUGGCGGCAGGCCUAACACAUGCAAGUCGAACGAGUGGCGGACGGGUGAGUAAUGUCUGGGAAACUGCCCGAUGGAGGGGGAUAACUACUGGAAACGGUAGCUAAUACCGCAUACCAUCGGAUGUGCCCAGAUGGGAUUAGCUAGUAGGUGGGGUAAUGGCUCACCUAGGCGACGAUCCCUAGCUGGUCUGAGAGGAUGACCAGCCAUACUGGAACUGAGACACGGUCCAGACUCCGACGGGAGGCAGAAGUGGGGAAUAUUGCACAGUGGGCGCAAGCCGGAGGCAGCCAUGCCGCGUGGUUGAAGAAGGCCUGCGGGUUGUAAAGCACGUUCAGCGAGGAGGCGUUACUCGCAGAAGAAGCACCGGCUAACUCCGUGCCAGCCGCCGCGGUAAUUG